rnacentral:rRNA from 1 species
UGGGGAAUAUUGGACAAUGGGCGCAAGCCUGAUCCAGCAAUGCCGCGUGAGUGAUGAAGGCCUUAGGGUUGUAAAGCUCUUUCACCCACGACGAUGAUGACGGUAGUGGGAGAAGAAGCCCCGGCUAACUUCGUGCCAGCAGCCGCGGUAAUACGAAGGGGGCUAGCGUUGUUCGGAAUGACUGGGCGUAAAGGGCGCGUAGGCGGUUGACCAAGUUGGGGGUGAAAGCCCGGGGCUUAACCUCGGAAUUGCCUCCAAAACUGGUCGGCUUGAGUGUGGAAGAGGGUUGUGGAAUUCCCAGUGUAGAGGUGAAAUUCGUAGAUAUUGGGAAGAACACCAGUGGCGAAGGCGACAACCUGGUCCAUUACUGACGCUGAGGCGCGACAGCGUGGGGAGCAAA